rnacentral:rRNA from 1 species
AUGUACAUUCCUACACCAUAGCAUCAAUGCACUAGAUCCCAUUAGAACUCCGCAGUUAAGCAUGCUCAGGCUAGAGUAGUAUUGGGAUGGGUGACCACACGGGAAGUCCUAGUGUUUUACAUG